rnacentral:rRNA from 1 species
AGAGUUUGAUCCUGGCUCAGAUUGAACGCUGGCGGUAUGCUUUACACAUGCAAGUCGAACGGAUUUUGGAGCUUGCUCCAAAGUUAGUGGCGAACGGGUGAGUAAUAUAUCGGAACAUAUCCGGAAGUGGGGGAUAACGUAGCGAAAGUUACGCUAAUACCGCAUAUGCCCUGAGGGGGAAAGGGGGGGAUCGCAAGACCUCUCGCUUUCGGAGUGGCCGAUAUCGGAUUAGCUAGUAGGUGAGGUAAAGGCUCACCUAGGCGACGAUCCGUAGCUGGUCUGAGAGGACGACCAGCCACACUGGAACUGAGACACGGUCCAGACUCCUACGGGAGGCAGCAGUGGGGAAUUUUGGACAAUGGGCGAAAGCCUGAUCCAGCCAUACCGCGUGAGUGAAGAAGG